ensembl:lncRNA
AUCCCAUAAUUCACUGUGACACUUUGCAUUUAAUGGUUUUUCAUUGAAAUAAAUGUUUCUUCUUAGUUUUCUUAUCAUUUAUGUACAUUAGGGUUUUAUGUGUUGUUAAUUAAUGCUUAUUGCAUUAUUUUAAUGUCAUGAUGAUGUACGACAGUGUACACCUUCUAGAAAACAGAUUUUAGUAAUUUGGUAUAUGAACAUUAUUUCAGUUAAUGAAAUAAUGUUUUUUUACUGUAAAUUUAAGAUAAAGGUAAAACUUUUUUAUAUAUAUAAAUUUGUCAAAUUCUAGUAACCACAGCUUCCACUUCUUACCAGAAAAUGAAUGGAUUUUGAUCAAAUAUACUAGAAUUCUCUCUUAUUCACCCAGUCAUGACAGACUCCAGACACUCAAAAUAUUUCCAACAUUAGCACAAGUGCUUGCUUGAGUUUGUGCUGUUAUAUUUCAGUUUUGCAUGUCAAAAUGAGGACGUCAGAAAGCCUAGUCGGUGCUGUCAAUCAUGAAAGCCUUACAUCAUACAGUCUGCUAUAAAAGUUAAUGUUACACAAUCUGACUUUUACUCAAGAUCUCACUAGAGUCAUGAACAUUUUGACAAGUAACAUCGUAAAAAAAAGAGAAAAAACGCCUAGUGUACACCCAGCGUUAGAUGACACAGGACUUGUUUUUAUAUUUAAAUCAUAAGCAGUCUGUCAGCAGUGAAAACAUGCUAAACUUAUUACAGGGUUUAAGGUCUUCUGUUCAUGUACUACACAGACCUUCACACAUGAUCAGGUCUUCUGCUCUGAGACUCACAAUCUGUUCAGAAGGUGUUCCUUUUCCUGUGUUUCAAUUGUUGCCAACACUGACAGGUUUUAAUCCCACUGCAAAAAAAAGAAAAUGGAUUCUAAGAAACAGAUCACAAAAGGGUUGAAGGAAGCCUAUGGAGUGCCUGAGGGAGUGAAGGAGAGAGGACUUGGCAUCACACCGGCAGAACGUGGAGCAACACCGCUUGGCAAGGCAUUGCUCUUUCGGGGGCAAUGAAAAAUAAUUUCCUCCUGAAAAAGCAGCACGAGGGAAGACUUCUUGGACUGGACAUGAAGAAUAUGAGCCAUGCCGAAAGAAUGCACGCUUGACUGUGACCGCCAGACUUCAAUGUCAAAGACAGACAGCAAUACUGCACAUGCAUGCCGUGAAAUGUUUACUUAACCUUGAUUAACGUAUGAAGAAUUCCUCUUCACCAGCUUGCACAGAGAGUCAGUGCAUCUCAAUGUCUGUCAGCCUGAAACACUGGAAGAAUAUUAAAAACCUCAAGAUUAUACCAUAUAUUUACACAUAUUUAAUCUGUGACCUUCCAUACAGCCUAAAAAAGAGACUGUGGUAGUUUUGUGUGUAUUCUUUUUUUAAGGUGUUUUACAUCUCAUAUUCACGUCUGGAUUAUCCUGGGCUGCGUUUGAUCACACUGAAUGGGUAAAUAUAUAUUUGGGUUCAUAAAAACAUGUUAUUUUUAAUAUUUAGUUUCCAAACUUCUUUUUUUUUAUAUACUCAAAAUUAAAACAAUUUAAGCAAAAAUAAGAAUAAGUCCUAGAAUUCAGAUUUUUUUUCUUUUUUUUUUUCUAAAUUCUAAGUUUACAUCUUGCGAUUCUGUUCACAGAAUCACAGAAUAAAAAAAGGGAACUGGAACUUUUUUUUGAUCUC